rnacentral:lncRNA from 1 species
UGCGUUCUCUUUGUUCACUCAAUGUAGGUUGCAUUUCGGUAAGCUAAAUAAAAUGUAAAAUCACCAAAAUAUUGAACUCAGGGUACAAUCAAAUCAGAAAGUCCCUAAUCACAAGGCCAAAUCAAAUGACAAAACACAUCAAAUACGAAUGGACAACAACUGUCAUAUUUCUGACUUGGUACAUGCUUUUUUAUAUGUAGAACAUGGUGUGUUAAACCUGGUUGUAUAGCGCCAAACCUCUCAC